UCUGGACACUUUUGUGGAAAAAUGUCCACACAUAAAGAAACUGCCAUAAAAUCCUCAUACUUCAAUAUUUAUUUCUACUUUUCUUUCAUGAAUCACUUAAACAACUUCACACAUGCUCUAAACUACCAACAUUUCAAGCGCUUUCAGGAUUUUAACUCUUUAAAUACCAGUCUGAAAAUACCAAGUUUUAAAUGUUUUUUUUGUUUUUUUGUUUUCAAAAAAAGACAAAACAUGAAUAAUUUUCCAUAAAAUAAACAGUCGGUGGAUGAGACUUUGGUGGUAAUUAGAGUCUUGGAUGUGUCAAAGAUUAUCAAUGAAAUUGAUUUGAUUGCAUCAGUAUUUUUCUGUAGUGUCAGAUUCUCCCUUCAUGGCCAAAAAUGCCCCAUUGACUUCCAUUAUAACUACAUUCAUUAAUCUGGCUGCUAUUCCAGUAUAAAACCAUGACUCUGUGAUGUUACUGUUUCAUGUAGAAGAAACUAGUGUCUGUGUGUGUGUGUGUGUGUGUGUGUGUGUGUGUGUGA